rnacentral:tRNA from 1 species
GGCCACGUGGCGGAGAGGCUACGCAGCGGACUGCAAAUCCGUGUACCCCGGUUCGAAUCCGGGCGUGGCCUCCA